rnacentral:rRNA from 1 species
UGGGGAAUUUCGGACAAUGGGCGAAAGCCUGAACCAGCCAUGCCGCGUGGAGGAUGACGGCCCUCUGGGUUGUAAACUCCUUUUAUCUGGGAAGAAAUGCAGAUUUUCUAAUCUGUUUGACGGUACCAGAGGAAUAAGCACCGGCUAACUACGUG